rnacentral:lncRNA from 1 species
UCUACACAAGCAGCAGAAAAUGAAAAUUGAAUAUGUUAGUGCAUAUGACAAUAUUUCCUUUUACCAUGCAAAACUAUCUAGCAUCUUAUAUUAGUGAGGGUUAAACUGGGUCUCAACUCAACAAGACUAUAUUAGGAGGCAAAAGGUUGUUGAAAAAUGGUCAUCACUUUUGUUACAUGAGGAUCAUUCUGUAAAUUAAUGAUAGCAUCAGGCAACCAAUUAACUAUAAUGCAAAGGAAACAACUGCAUAAGACAGCAGUAAUGGAAAUGGGGAAUACUUACGGCAUUGGUGAAUGCAGACAAAACUUCUAGCCUUUUAUAUCUGAAAUGAAUGCACCACAUUAGUUAUGCUCAUAAUUAGGUAUUUGAAAUUUGAAAUUAUUAACCAAGAAAGUAAAUAAGAGUUCAAAUAAUGUGUAACACACAGACAAAGUUCCAGUUAUGAGUGAAUCCACCAUUAAUUAACUGUUGGACAAAUACAUAAUCUUGCAUGAUGCAAGCACAGACAAGAAGACACAUGGGAUAAAUUUUUAAUAGUGCAUGAGAUGCAUUACAGGCACACCUAGACACAUGGCCAUGAAAAACUUCAAAGUCCAACAGAUGUCAGUAUAACCACAGCCAUCUUCAACAAAUCCAUCUCUUUGUUGUCCAAAAAUAGUUUAAAACUCCAACUCUAACAUUAUAUGAGAACUAGCUCAUGGUAUAAAAUUAAGAAUAACUAUGUUCAUGAAAAGAUAAACACAUCACUCAAAUGUUUCACAAUGCACAACUUUGUCAUACAAAUUCAAACAUACCUUACUAAUUCUACAAAGUGAAUGUUUGAUACUACCAAGAGUUUUUCUAUUUUUCCUUUUGCUCUUUACCAAUGUGAAGAACAUACUUCACAGUUUACACACGAAAAUACUCACACACUACAUAAUGAAGGAUGUAUUUACCCAUAAGUAUAUUCUCGAUCAGGUUUGUUCCUUGAUGCAGCCAUAACAAAUAGAGAAAAUGUCAAAAGACCACAUCCAAAAGUCAAAUGAAACGCAUCAGACACCAGACCUGAAAAAAAAAAAUAAAGGAACCGAGGGUCCAACUUUAACAAAAUUGAGCUCUGCAUAAAAUCAUAUAUCAUAAAAUCUCACAAAAACUCACACAGAAUCUUACCAACACGGCCAGUGAAGAGGCCAAAGAGCAACUCAACAGUAGAGUAGGCCACAUUCAAAGAGAUCAUCAAAAAGAGUCUCUUCAUGUACCUAUGACCAGACCUAAUAUUCCUAAACACACCAAAAACGAAGGAAGGAAAAGACGAUCUUUCCGUGGACCCAGUGAGCUUGUCGUAACGGUGCACCGGGUUGGGAAUGUCUAUGCUGGAAUCAGUUCGGGACAAAAAAGGUCUCCCCGAAUCGACGGCAAUCGGCGUAUGAGGCUGCUGCUGCUGUUGGAACGAAGUUUGCCGCGAAAACGCGAACCUUCGAUCGCUGCCGGUACCGAACCCGAAAUCGCCGUUCAUGGAGCUCCGUGGUGAGUCUCGAGCUUCCAUCUUCGGGUCCCAGAAACGAAACCGGAUAAAGAUCCGAACUUCGGAGUUUGGAGGAAAAGAUACUGAUUCUGAAUCAGCUUUUUACCAUGCAAAACUAUCUAGCAUCUUAUAUUAGUGAGGGUUAAACUGGGUCUCAACUCAACAAGACUAUAUUAGGAGGCAAAAGGUUGUUGAAAAAUGGUCAUCACUUUUGUUACAUGAGGAUCAUUCUGUAAAUUAAUGAUAGCAUCAGGCAACCAAUUAACUAUAAUGCAAAGGAAACAACUGCAUAAGACAGCAGUAAUGGAAAUGGGGAAUACUUAC